GCACCCUACCUUGUCCUCUGUGAAGGAGGCCACCCAAACUGUCUCACUGGUUCUAGGUACACAAAACCCAAAUCUGAGAAAUCCACUAGAUUGGCAGGUAGGAUGGAAUAAUUUAUUAUUAUUAUUAUUUUAAAGACAAGGUCUUGCUCUGUUGCUCAGGCUGGAGUGCAGUGGUACAAUCAUAGAUUACUGCAGCCAAAAACUCUUGGCUUCAAGCGAUCCUCCUGCCUGGGCCUCUGAAGUACUGGGAUUACAGGUGUGAGCCACUGUGCCCAGCCUGGAGUGAUUUAAAAACUGUUUUCAAAUCAACAUUUUGAAAUAGUACUGUAUUUUAGCUUUCGGAAUUCUAAACUUUGCUAGAUCCGACAAGCUCAGUUUUCUUGAAGGCUGUAAUCACAAGUAACAGCUAAGAUAGGAAACACAAGAGUAUAUUUAGACAAACUUUGGGACUGUCAACUUACGUUUGUAUCCUCCAGCAAUGCCAGACUGUGUCAGACAUCUCUGCAAUUCAUCAGCAUCUAUCUGCCCAUCCUUUUGAAAAAAAAUUAGAGGAAUCAUAAUAGUGAUUUGUACUUUCAAGUUGUUUACCUUCAGCAUUCAAUGAAGCAAUAACAACAAAGAAAAUCAGUAUCUUUUUUUUAUUUAAAAGGAAUGCCUUUUUUUUAUUAAAAGGAAUGCCUUCCAAAAGUGGGCAUUCUUUUCCUUAACCCACUUCCAAAAGUAAUUUAAUGAUGAAAGAAAGAGUCUGUCUUGGCAACUACUCUUCUCUCAAUCUGAGCUAGCAAACUGCUACAGCUAAACAUUUUAAAAUAUUUUUUUUUGAUGGGGGUGGAGAGAGCAAGGUACAAAGCAGACAUCAAUAAAUAGAAGGCUUGGUUCAAACAGAAAAAGGCCUCCUUGGUCACUUUUUCUUAUGAUAUAGUGAAUCAUUUUUUUCAGAGCACAAAUACAUCUGGAAGAUUCACAUUAGGUUCCCAGUGCCCAUUCACUGGCUGAACUGGGAAAGAACUAGAUAUAUGUGAUUUUUAGGGACUUUAAAAUAAAAUACCUAAAUCUUCAAGUCACUGGGUAUUAUAAGUUAUAAAUGAGGAGCAAGAUCAGCAAUUUGAAAGACAAUGGGUAUGCUGAAUACAGGCCAGGGCUGCUGAAAGCUAAGCAGGUGGAGUCACUUACAUGCUGGAGGCACUGGCAAUCUAAGAAUGCUAGUCUUGAGGUUUGCCAUGCCUUGUGGUUUCAAAGAUACAGAUCAUUAACAGUUUAAGUAGAUACUUAAGGGGAAGGUCUUCCAGUUUUAGACUAUAUUUUCCAUUCAAUUUCUUAAGCUGUAUUUCUUAGAGUACUACCUUAAAAGUGGUCUUAGGUUUUUUAUCCCAUAAUAUUCUACAGUUUUCACAUUAAGAUUUUGCUAUUUCUAGCUUUUGGUCAAAACAAAACUAGGUUGAAUUCAUAAGAACAAACAUCUCCUCUGGACGUGUCUGGGUUAUACCAACAGUAUAUUUACUGCACACAGUGACCUCAUGAACUAGGGAAGUGUCCUCUCUCAAUGUAAGAUAGCACCUGUCAAUGUAAGAUAGCACCUGUCAUACAACUCAGAAUGCAGACAAGUGAAAGGUCUUGGGGAGCUGACCUUAAUUGCUUCUCUGGGUCAACAGGCCAGAACACCUAAUAAGGACAUGGAGGGGCUGACCUAGUAACAGCAUCUGCAUCAAAGAGAAACUACACUGUUCACAAGAUUAACUUUCUGAUACUAAGAAGGGAACAGUA
rnacentral:lncRNA from 1 species